GCGCUCGUAGCUCAGCUGGAUAGAGUACCUGGCUACGAACCAGGCGGUCAGAGGUUCGAAAACUCUCGAGCGCG
rnacentral:tRNA from 1 species